UCGAACUGCGGGCCAGGGUGCGGGGUGAGAGGGAGGCUGCAGGCUUUGUUCGGUGUGACUUGGCGGAAGGGGUGUGUAGGCGGCCUGUUAAGUUCCGGGUGAAAUCUCCCGGCUCAACCGGGAGGGUGCGCGGAAAACUGGCUGGCUAGAGUGCGUGAUGGGAGAGUAGAAUUCCUGGUGUAGCGGUGAAAUGCGUAGAUAUCAGGAGGAAUACCUGUGGUGUAGACGGCUCUCUGGACCGUAACUGACGCUGAAACACGAAAGCGUGGGUAGCAAACAGGAUUAGAUACCCCGGUAGUC
rnacentral:rRNA from 1 species